UUUCGAUUUUUUUGGCGUAUUAAUCCUUUUUUGUUCAGACUUGGUUUUUCUCUUUUUACGAGACUUGCCAAGAUCUGGAGGAGCAGAUUUAAAUCCUGCAGCUUCUUUCUUUUUUCUCUGAGGUUUCAGAACAGGGGUUGAAGAUCCAUGAUUCUUAUCCCCAGCCUGCACAUAAUCAACAACUUAUAACUUCGCCUGUACUUUAUAAAGAACAAUAAAAUGUCCCACAAAGAAAACACUGCAUUUUGAUAACCAAGUGAUAACUUAGUCAGCAUACUGUAAUCCUAAGAACAUGGAAAAUGUUUUUUCCACCAAAGGCCUGAAAACCUACUUUUGCAGAAUUUGUGCAUUCACGUGCAAAAUGUCCUUCUUCACCACAUCUAAAGCAUGAACUAGGUGAGGCUGCCAUGGUGGCUUCAUCAUGCAACCCUAAACAUUCCUGCACAGAUAAAUACCCACACAUUAAGAAGCUGGUCCUAAUCAUCAAACAUUUACCAAGUACAUAAACCCCAAGAUGGAUCCAUAAGGGUAACCAGAACUGAUGUUGUACAUGCAAAUGUCAAAAGAAAAAUAGAGACCCACAUAAUGAGAAGUAGAUAAAUUUGCACUUGCAAAGCUUUUGGAGUAAAGGAAUUGAUAAAUAAUCACAAUGGAUCCAUAACAUAGAAAGAAAAAUCAUAUAUUGGCAAUUAAUAAGAUCAUAUCUUUUAUCUAAAGGGCAUGACCUCCAACCAAAAAUUAAAAAAGGCAUUGGCUUUUUGCUCCAAGCAGAAACAUGAACAAUAAUAAGAACACCAGCCACGGAAAAAAGACCUCAAAGCAUGUUCAAAGAGAAUGUUGCUGAAAAAGCUCAUUACAAGUGGGUGUUUGGUCUGCAUGCCUAUGUUCAUGACUCAGUAGCCAAAUGCUUAAAGUAGCACUGGAAGUGCCAGAAGUGGAACUUGAAUGGCACAUAAUCCAUGGCCAUUAUUUAUUAAGUUGCAUUUGUCAGUUAGUGCAAAUCAUAGUUAAUACUUAGUUUGUGUCUUUGUUAGCAACCAUUUCAAGCCCUCAUCUUUGAGUAGUUUGCUUCAUAUCAGGGUUCACACAAUUCAGUUACCAAACUAUGGAAAGUUUCUUUACAUGUUAUAAAUCAUAAAUAACUAUAAGAAAACCAAAGGUUACAAUAGAUAAUUUUUUUAUAUUGGUUUCUCAUUUUUCUUUGCCCACCCCUAGCCUUAGGUUUAGUGUUGGUUAGUGUGGAUGAAAAAGGGGCUUACUGGAGUUCAAAACAUUCUAGGGGGCCAAGAUCUAGUCUCUAAACAAGCUCUUGCUGCGUUUAUUCCUUUCAAUUAACCAAAAUGGGUAAAUGAAAGAACCAAGCCAGAAAGCUAGAUGCCUGUUCUCGUUGAAGACCAUUCUAGGGGGCUAAGAUCUAGUCUCUAAACAAGCUCUUGAUGCAUUUAUUCCUUUCAAUUAACCAAAAUGGGUAAAUGAAAGAACCAAGCCAGAAAGCUAGAUGCCUGUUCUCGUUGAAGACCAUUCUAGGGGGCUAAGAUCUAGUCUCUAAACAAGCUCUUGAUGCAUUUAUACCUGAACCUUGCCAUGUUGAAGGUCCCAAAUGAGACUGGUAAGUCGUCCCUGAACCUUGCCAUGCUGAAGAUCCAGAGUAACUAUUUGGCACAUCCUUAGAAGGUUGAGAACUUGACAUACCUAGAUGACUCUUGUGCUUUCUCUUGGAAGAUUCAGAGCCUGACAUCUGACUCUUAUAAGUUGGUUUUGAAGGAGAUCUCCAAUGGUUCUUUUUGGAUUUUGAUUGGGAUGUGUCUUCAGGAUACUCUGAAACCCAGCCACCUCUCUGUUUCGGUUUUUUUGGUGUCCAGGAUAAUUCAGGGUUCUCUGCAAUCCAGUCACCUCUUUGUUUUGAUUUCUUUGGCGUAUGGGAUAAUUCAGGAUCAUCUGUAAUCCAGCCACCUCUUUGUUUUGAUUUUUUUGGUGUUUGUAAAUCUUCAGGAUCUUCAGUGAUCCAGCCACCUCUUUGUUUCGAUUUUUUUGGCGUAUUAAUCCUUUUUUGUUCAGACUUGGUUUUUCUCUUUUUACGAGACUUGCCAAGAUCUGGAGGAGCAGAUUUAAAUCCUGCAGCUUCUUUCUUUUUUCUCUGAGGUUUCAGAACAGGGGUUGAAGAUCCAUGAUUCUUAUCCCCAGCCUGCACAUAAUCAACAACUUAUAACUUCGCCUGUACUUUAUAAAGAACAAUAAAAUGUCCCACAAAGAAAACACUGCAUUUUGAUAACCAAGUGAUAACUUAGUCAGCAUACUGUAAUCCUAAGAACAUGGAAAAU
rnacentral:lncRNA from 1 species